rnacentral:rRNA from 1 species
CUACGGGAUGCAGCAGUGAGGAAUAUUGCACAAUGGGGGGAACCCUGAUGCAGCAACGCCGCGUGGAGGAUGACGCAUUUCGGUGUGUAAACUCCUUUUAUAUGUCAAGAAAAUGACGGUAGCAUAUGAAUAAGCACCGACUAACUCCGUGCCAGCAGCCGCGGUAAUACGGAGGGUGCAAGCGUUACUCGGAAUCACUGGGCGUAAAGGACGCGUAGGCGGGUUGGAAAGUCAGGUGUGAAAUCCUACAGCUUAACUGUAGAACUGCACUUGAAACUUCUAAUCUAGAGUAUGGGAGGGGGAGAUGGAAUUAGUGGUGUAGGGGUAAAAUCCGUAGAUAUCACUGGGAAUACCUAAAGCGAAGGCGAUCUCCUGGAACAUUACUGACGCUAAGGCGUGAAAGCGUGGGGAGCAAACAGGAUUAGAUACCCCCGUAGUC